GUUAUGUCACUUCCGCCAUAUUCGCCAAUAAAUGGAGGGGCUAGGCGGUAGUAUCUUUCUCUUUCGCUGCUGGGGCUCUGAGUGAGCUGAAUAAAUGUCGGCUCCGACUUCUUUCGGGCCUGGAGCCUGCUCACCACGUGCGCGCCGCGCUUGGCGGCACGCGGUCGAGAUUCGAGGCCCUCCUGGACUUGACCCGUGAAUACUGGGCAACAGGCUGUGACCUGCCAAGAUCUGAGUAAAUCAGCAUCAUGAGCAUGUGGGAUUGGACAUGUGCCAAGUUGGGGCAUUAGAAACAAAACUUUUGAUGCAGAUGUUCUUAAUGAAGUGAAAAAACCCACGAAGUGACUAUGGAGCAAGAAGUCUCAAGUCCAUGUGUUACUGGGAUUAGCUCAGCUCAGCUGAGCAUGUCAAGUGAAGAUGCUGGAGUUGAAGAUCAGUACCUAUAUUUUUAUAAUGUAAUUUGAAACUGGUUUAUUAAAACACUUUAAAUUUGUCUGGUUGUACAGAAGACCUUAAUAUCAUCCUGCACAAUCGUUUUGUUAAUGACCAGCUCCAAUAAAAACCUUGCAUUUGCA